GUAGACAGCUCACUUCCGCCCGGCUGGUAAUAGCCACCAGGCUCGGAGUUGCCAGGAGUCCGGAGACGCCGGGAGGCCGCGGUCAUUUUGGUAACAAGCUGAACCGAUCCGUGACUUCAGGAGCCGUUGGGACCUGCAGACACAGCUGAAACCUGGGAGGCCAGGAGGAGGGCAGCAGACACUACAGAGAAACCCGGAAGAAACCGAAAUGGAGGCACACCUGCUCACCCAGCCCCAUCCCUCGGCCCAGUCCCUGCUGCAGGAGUCGUGGGCUCAGAGGUGACAGUGAGGAAUGUAUCGGUCCUCCUAGAUCCAGCACCUCCACCUUUACUGCUAGGGGAUGACCAGGUACAUAACAGGAAGAGAAUACCGUGUCCCACCUAGGACACCACCAAGACAUGGCUGCCUCUUGGAGCAGCUCGUGGUGGGGAGGCACUUGGGCAUUCAAGGGCUGACGUGAGUCCUCAAGAGGAGAAUGGAGGGUUCUCUUGGGAAGUGGGGCUGAGGAAGGCCAUGAGCCUAGGACAGAGCUCAGUGCCCAGUGGCAUCCUGGGGCUCAGCCACAGCCUGGGCCUUGCUGGCCAUCACCGCCUGUCCUCCCUUGCAGGAGGCAGGGCUGGCCUUUGGCCAUAGAAACUGGUCUGACCAAGGACAGUAUCUAAGAGGAUCCCUUGCCUGGCAGGCCUUCUGCUGCUUAGCUGCCUUUGUCAUUCGAGUCUCAGCUCAAGAACCACCUCCUGGAAGCCUGCUCCCAGGCUCCCUCAUCCCAGUGAUGUUAUGGCAGAUAAAUAUGAGCUUAUGUCUGUCUCCCCCGUACCCAGAGAGCUCGCUGAGGGAAAGGCUCUGUUUUUCUGUCUUUACCUCCUUGGCUCAGAGCUUGGUGUGAAACCAGUGUUUAGGGAGUGUUUGCUGAGCAAUCAGCAUGAGUUACAGCCCUGCCCGGGGCAGACAUCCACCAGCAGCAUCCUGAGGACUCAAAACACUUCUCAGGUGGUUACUCUCCUGUGGACAGCUCACAGGCCCCUUGGAUCAAAAGGCCCAGACCCUACCGACAGCUUCCGAAAGCACACCCAGUGCCAGAAACUGCAGAAACAUCAGAUGUCAGCCCCCGCCCCACCCUAACCCCCUUGCAGAGGUCACGCAACCCAAGUCCCGUAGAGGCCACCUCCUACAUGUGCCUCCAGGGCCCCCACUUCUCUCCAUCUCCAGAGGCACUAACUACCAGCAUCUGAGCUCCCACCAGAUGUCCCCAGGUAAGACAGCAGCUGCCAGGUGGCACCCAAUUUUCACCCUCUCCCCCUUUCCACAGCCACUGCAGUCAUCUUGUGAAAUGCAAGUCUGAUGAUGGCACCUCGAGAAGCCCCUUCCAACACUGCAGUGGCCUCCACAGCCUGGUGCCCAUUUGCUCCCCAGGCUUGGCUUGCUCACGCUCAUUGACCUCUCUGCUUUGAAAACGCUUUCCCACCCCCAUCCUGCUCGGUUAACCCUGAGCACCCUCUGUGCCCCCUGGCCAGAUCUGUGAGGACAGAAAGCAGCCUGCUUCGGCUCCCAGCUGUGCCAUGGCCACCAAGAGUACUGCGAGGCUGGCUGAACCUGACCUGGGGCAUGGCUCCCUCAUGGACCACUUCCCUGGGCUCCCCAUCGGGCCUCCUUUCCCCUGACCUCCUCUCAAUCAUCCAUGGCGGGGGAUGGGGACUGCCCUGCUCUUGGUCACUGUGGGUUCGUGAUGUCUCACACAGGUCCUAGCAAUAUACUGAGGUAAUAAUCUUCAAUCUUGACUGGAUGAACCAAUGAACAGUCACCUCCAAAAUGCUUGAGGAGCCCAAAAGUUCUGAUGCACAGCCAGCCUCACUGCCUUAGACCGGCAGGGUUGGCCAAUGUCUUUAACCCCACAGGCGGGGUGUGGAAAUACGUGAGGAAUGAACAAUUCCAAGUGGCCACAGGGCUCUUGGGAAGAUUUGGAUACCUACUGACUGAUUCUGAAGGGAGAGUACACCCACACCCUAGAACCCUCCCAUGACCAAGGCAGUGGGGAAAGUCCUGCCCAUGUCAUAAGGACUCCUCCUCCAGGCAGCCUGCCCUGAUGACUCCUGACUUGGUGAUACGAUCACCUUUGCAGCAUGCUCUCAUCAGAUACACUCAUCUGACUCUUUACAAAGACAAAGCAGAGAUAACACUGUUAAGACGAACACACCUGUAAUCCCAGCACUUUGGGAGGCCAAGGCAUGUGGAUCACCUGAGGUCAGGAGUUCAAGACCAGCCAGGCCAACAUGGUGAAACUCCAUCUCUACCAAAAAUGCAAAAUAGCUGGGCAUGGUGGUGGGUGCCUGUAAGCCUAGCUAUUCCGGAGGCUGGGGCAGGAGAAUCACUUGAACCUGGGAGGCAUAGGUUGCAUGAGCCGAGAUCAUGCCAUUGUAUUCCAGCCUGAGUAACAAGCAAAACUGUCUCAAAAAAAAAAAAAAAACACACAAGUCUAGUGCCAGCUUGCCAAAGGCCAGUUCCAGGCUGUCUAUUCUGGGCAGCUCUGCAGUUUCUGGCAAGGGCUGGCACCCACAGGGUUACAGGAGUCUUUGCUGUUCUGUCCCUUAGUUCUUUGUAUGCCUGUGAUAUCAGGCUUCUGGCAAGUACAGGUUGGCCUCAUGCCUUGGCACAGCCAAUCAAGGUAGUCAGUUGCACAUGCUGUACGUCAUACCAUGAUUCUACGCUCCCUUGGCCCUGCUGGCCCUGACACCCCACACAUGAAGGCAGGGGCAUAGGUGGUUCUCACACUCUGUGGGGUCACCAUCAUGUAAGGGUCUGGAACAGAGGCUUUAGUGUCACCAGCUUUUGCUUCCAGACUCUAACCAGCUAUGUGACCUUAGGCAAAAACACUCAGAUUUCUCAACGACGAAAUGGGAGGAAGAGCCACAAGGGACUGCCAGAAGCAGCAUGUGCUGGCGGUGGCUGUGGAAAGCUGUGCUGUCCCUGCACGGAAGUGUGUGAUUGCUAGUGUCAGAGCUGCUGUCUGCUGUGGGCAUCUCACUGCCCAGACCCUGCCAGGGGGCUCCAGUCACCACCACUGCAGGUGCGGCUGGCACAUGGUGGGGAAAGCCAGCUCAGCGGGGAAAGGGGGACACAUGCUCCCUCUGGCAGCUUCCUUGACACUGACAUGGCCCCCACUGAGCUUUCCUCCGUGCCUGGCCCACAUGUUCUCACAUCAGAAAUUCAGCUCUCCUUCCCUCAGCCCUGGCUCCUCCCUCCCAGGGAGCUCUCCAGUCUGUUUCCACCCACAGGACGCCCUCAUUGUCCAGCUGCAGCAGCACUCCUCCCUGCCACAGAACCCCCCACCCCCACCCCAGUGCUUCUGCCCCACCCCUCCCUGCAGAUGCAGCCAGCUUUCUCAAGUGCAAAUCGGACUGCUUCAUCCCUCUGCUCAAAACUUUCCAUGGCUCCGGCUCUGCCAGGAUCAAGAGCAAACACAGCCUAGCCUUGCCAGCUUCCUCCCUCACUGAUCCCUAGUCUAGCCAGGAGUCUCAGGGUUGCACCCUAGGUGGCACAGGAGGCAUUUGUGGGCAUCUUCAGGCGGCACAACAUGGAGUGGGCUGCAGUCAAGGAUGCUGGACGUUCUGCCACAAGACAGCCACCCCACACCAAGCAACAGUCCUGCGUCCUCCAGUAUUUUCUGCAUGGUUUCAGUAUACCCAGAGACUUCCAGGAACACAAUUCUCAGGAAAAUCGAGGGAAGCCCAUUCUUAGAAUCUUACUGCAAGGCAGCGACCACUUCAGAAAUGAACGGCACCACUGGCCAAAACACGGGGUCCAGACUACAAACACCUGGGCUGUGGCUGUGACAGUCACAGUGACUUUGCCCUGCAGCAAACACCUGGCAACUUCAUGUCUUCUGGGGUGAGUGGGAGGGCGUGCCCAGGCAUUUAUAAACUGAUGCAUAUACUUGUAUUCUCUUCCUUUUAUGUCUCCAUGCAAUGAAAGCAACUGAGUAUUUUUGGAA